UACGGAGGGUGCAAGCGUUAUCCGGAUUUACUGGGUUUAAAGGGUGCGUAGGCGGGUUGGUAAGUCUGUGGUGAAAUCUCCGAGCUUAACUUGGAAACUGCCAUUGAUACUAUCAGUCUUGAAUAUUGUGGAGGUCAGCGGAAUAUGUCAUGUAGCGGUGAAAUGCUUAGAUAUGACAUAGAACACCAAUUGCGAAGGCAGCUGGCUACACAUAUAUUGACACUGAGGCACGAAAGCGUGGGGAUCAAACAGG
rnacentral:rRNA from 1 species